GGGGACGCGUGGUAUCGACAGGGAAGAGGAGUUACAGAAUUGCAGGUUGAGGCGCCGUGGUCCUCAUAAAAAAACGGCAAAAAAACAACUGGCGAACCUGAACUGGUUCUGGCUGGCUAAUUUAAGCUGGCCCAUCCACUCCAGCCCCACCCCGACGGGCUGGUACUGGGUGACGAAAUGCCGGGGUGCCGCACCUGGGACACCGAUACCGGGAGCGAAAGAAAUAAUCGGCUGGCCAGGUUUGAAUUGUUGCCGGUUGAUAUCAGCCUGGCGAGAUUAUUAUAACCGGAUAAACCUGUAGUAGAUUCUGGGCUAUCUUUUCUGGACGGGGAGUUCGACUCUCCCCCGUCUCCACCA
rnacentral:tmRNA from 1 species